rnacentral:rRNA from 1 species
AAACCGUUCAGGGGUAAACCUGAGAAACCCAAAAGAUCGAAUGGGGAGAUUCAUCGUCGACGGCGCUGGCUACCGUUGGUGCGCGAUGCUCCGGGUGGACCCUUGCGGUUCCAUUAGCGUGUGGCACACCACCUUCGGAUCGAACGUUCCGGCGUCGUAGUCGUGCACUUCUCCCCUAGUAGGACGUCGCGACCCGUUGUGUGUCGGUCUACGGCCCGAGUGGGCGCCUGUCGCGUCGUUUCGGCGCACGCGGCAGACCCUCGGUCGCCCGGCCGGCUGCACGACGGUACACUCACGGUAUCGGGCCGCAACCAGUCCAUUCUCGAAUGUGUGUGCGUCCAACCCGCCGCAAGCUCGGUCAGUUCUUACCCGGAGGUACGGACCCUGUGCCGUCCCCGGGCCUGGCCAGCUGUUAGCAGGCGGUGUCCUCGGACUGGCCAAAUCUCAGAUUACCGGUCGGCGACGCUAUUGCUUUGGGUACUCUCAGGACCCGUCUUGAAACACGGACCAAGGAGUCUAACAUGUGCGCGAGUCAUUGGGAUGCAGAAACCUAAAGGCGAAAUGAAAGUGAAAGUCGGCCUUCGCGCCGAUCGAGGGAGGAUGGGCCGCGUAACCAUGCGGCCUCGCACUCCCGGGGCGUCUCGUUCUCAUUGCGAGAAGAGGCGCACCUAGAGCGUACACGUUGGGACCCGAAAGAUGGUGAACUAUGCCUGGUCAGGACGAAGUCAGGGGAAACCCUGAUGGAGGUCCGUAGCGAUUCUGACGUGCAAAUCGAUCGUCGGAACUGGGUAUAGGGGCGAAAGACUAAUCGAA